GAUCCAAUGCCACGUCGCAGAUAGCUUGAAUUAAGCAGUGACCAGUGAUGCUAUGAUUGGACCAAAAUCAAAAGUGAAUUUCGUUUGUUUCGCAUUCUGAUAGGAAUAUGUGGGUUUCAUACUUUAUGAUCUGUCUCGGAGCCGUUUUAUGCGAUUACAUUU
rnacentral:snoRNA from 1 species